rnacentral:lncRNA from 1 species
GCCAUCAUGCUGUCCGCUGUCCCCUCUGCCCCACUAAUAAAGCUUCUGUGUUCUCUCCUCUCUAGGUAAGCAAUCCGCUGCUUUGCUGGGCCACGUAUCCCUGUCCAUGUGAGUUUCGCCCGCGAGAACAUGAUCUCUACACCGCAGCUUCUCUGCGGACACUAUGGGACGAUCCGGUGUAAAGGAGGACAGUCUUGCGACAAGACACUAACUGCUCAGGCUCAACUCAGCGGGGGAUGUUCCAAACUUUAUGCAAAGGUAGUGUCCCAAAGACCUGGAUGGAGGGAGGAGUGGGAGAGUGAAAUUAACACCGUCACCAACUGUGUCAUUUUGUUACUGGACUGUCAAAAGGGUGGUUCAAAAUGAAUCUGAAACACGCCAAUAAUGCUUUCCAUCUCGGCCUUUGCCCUUGCAGGGCAGCUCCACAGCAAGGAGCCACCUGGCCCCAAACGUCAGCGAUGCCUGUGGCUCCCAGUAUCACCGUUUGGACUCCAAUCAGCAGGAACAUGACGCAAAGCCGAGGGAGUGAAAGGCUGCCAGGGUGAGUCUCCUCUUCUGCUUUGCCUCUUGUGUUUCCAGAGAAGUCACACUGCAGGGGCCCAACCUUU